rnacentral:tRNA from 1 species
GACCGCUUGGUCGAGGGCCGCGAUGUCGAUCUGGGGCAGCGGCUCGAACACCGGCGGUGGGGUCGCCAGCAGCACGGCCCCGCCGUCGGUCA